rnacentral:rRNA from 1 species
AUUGAACGCUGGCGGCAGGCCUAACACAUGCAAGUCGAGCGGAGGGGCGGACGGGGGCGUGAUGCCUAGGUAUGUGACAGGGCGUGGGGGAUAGGGUCAGGAAACGGGAGCGAAUACUACAUCCUAUCGGCUGCGCCUAGUUCGGAUUAGCAAGUUGGUGGGGUAACGGCCUACCAAGGCGACGAUCCGUAGCUGCUCUGAGAGGAUGAUCAGUCACACUGGAACUGAUACACGGUCCAGACUCCUACGGGAGGCAGCAGUGGGGAAUAUUGCACAAUGGGCGAAAGCCUGAUCCAGCCAUGCCGCGUGUGUGAAGAAGGUCUUCGGAUUGUAAAGCACUUUCAGUUGGGAGGCGUUACCCACAGAAUAAGCACCGGCUAACUUCGUGCCAGCAGCCGCGGUAAUAC